rnacentral:pre_miRNA from 1 species
AUAUAGGGCACUCUGUCUUUAAGUAGGGAUAAAUUACUCUAAAAGAAAUGAAUACUAGAUAGUUUUCCCUUCAAGUCAAGCAUCUUGU